rnacentral:rRNA from 1 species
ACUCCUACGGGAGGCAGCAGUGGGGAAUAUUGCACAAUGGGCGCAAGCCUGAUGCAGCCAUGCCGCGUGUAUGAAGAAGGCCUUCGGGUUGUAAAGUACUUUCAGCAGUGAGGAAGGUGGGUAUGUUAAUAGCAUACUCAUUUGACGUUAGCUGCAGAAGAAGCACCGGCUAACUCCGUGCCAGCAGCCGCGGUAAUACGGAGGGUGCGAGCGUUAAUCGGAAUUACUGGGCGUAAAGCGCAUGCAGGUGGUUUGUUAAGUCAGAUGUGAAAGCCCGGGGCUCAACCUCGGAAUUGCAUUUGAAACUGGCAAACUAGAGUACUGUAGAGGGGGGUAGAAUUUCAGGUGUAGCGGUGAAAUGCGUAGAGAUCUGAAGGAAUACCGGUGGCGGAAGGCGGGCCCCCUGGGACAGAUACUGACACUCAGAUGCGAAAAGCGUGGGGAGCAAACAGGAUUAGAUCCCCUGGUAGGCUCUGC